rnacentral:rRNA from 2 species
AUAACUUUUAACAACAGAUCUCUUAGUUCUAGCAUUAAUAAAGAACGCAGCGAAAUACAAUAAGUAGUGUAAAUUAUAGAAUUUAGUAAAUUAUUAAAUCUUUAAACACACAUUACGCCCCUUAGUAUUCUAUAGGGCAUGCCUAUUUAAGCGUUAUUUGUACCCUUAAGCUCUGCUUAGUGUUAGGUGUUUGUUCUACUUAGGACUCGCCUUAAAAUAAUUAGUAGCUAGCACAUUAGCCUAAAGCGCAGCAUAUUUUGCGCCUCUUGUUAUAGUUAUUAGUAUCUAUUAAGACACUUUUUAAGCUCUUAACCUUAGAUUAGGUAGGGAUACCCGCUAAACUUAAGUAUAUUAAUAAGCGGAGGAAAAGAAACUAAUAGGGAUUGCCCUAGUAACGGCGAGUAAAGCGGCAACAGCUUAAAUUUAAAAUCUAGCUCUUUUAGGGUCCAAGUUGUAAUUUGCAGAGGGCGCUUUGGCAUUAGCAGCGGUCUAAGUUCCUUAGAACAGGACGUUAUAAAGGGUAAGAAUCCUAUACGUAGUUACUAGCCUUCGCCGUGUAAAGCCCCUUUAACAAGUUAAGUUAUUUAGGAAUGCAGCUCUAAAUAGGAGGUAAAUUUCUUCUAAAGCUAAAUACUAGCUAGAGACUAAUAGCGUAUAAGUAGAGUAAUUAAAAGAUAAAAAGCACUUUAGAAAGAGAGUUAAAUAGCACGUGAAAUUGUUAAAAGGGAAGCGCUUACAGCUAGACUUACCUGUAGUUACUUAUCUAGGCUUUUAUCUAGUAUACUCUUCUAUAGGUAGGCUAGUAUUAGUUUAGGUAGUUAGAUAAAGGUCUCUAUUACGUACCUCCCUUUAGGGAGGCCUUAUAGGGGAGACGACAUGCAACUAGCCUAGACUAAGGUCCGCGUAUCUGCUAGGAUGCUAGCGUAAUAGCUAUAAGCGGCCCAUCUUAAAAUAUAGACUAAGGAGUCUAACAUCUAUGCAAGUAUUUAGGUAUUAAGCCUAGACGCGUGAUAAAAGUAAACAGAGGUGGGACCCCUUUUAGGGUGCACUAUUAACUAAUUCUAAUGUCUUUAGAAGGAUUUAAGUAAGAGCAUAGCUAUUAGGACCUAAAAGAUAGUAAACUAUGCUUAAAUAGGGUAAAGCUAGAGGAAACUCUAGUAGAGGCUUGCAGCAGUUCUAACGUGCAAAUUAAUUGUUAAAUUUAGGCAUAGGGGCAAAAGACUAAUUAAACUAUCUAGUAGCUAGUUCCUGCUAAAGUUUCCCUUAGGAUAGUAGUAACGUAUUUAGUUUUAUAAGGUAAAGCGAAUAAUUAGAGGCCUAGGGGUUAAAAUAACCUUUACCUAUUCUUAAACUUUAGAUAUAUAAGAAGUCCUUAUUACUUAAUUAAACGUAGACACUUAAAUAUACUAUUACUAGUAGGCUAUUUUUAGUAAGUAGAACUAGCAAUAUAGGAUAAACUAAACAUAGGGUUAAGGUGCUAGAAUACACGCUUAUUAGACACUAUAAAAGGUGUUAGUUUAUCUAGAUAGCAGGAUAGUAGCUAUAGAAGUUAUAAUCUACUAAGGAGUGUGUAACAACUUACCUGCUAAAUAAACUAGCCCUAAAAAUAGAUAGCGCUUAAGCGUGUUACCUAUACCCCGCCGCUAGGGCAAGAUUUAAGCCCUAGUAAGUAGGUAGGCGUAGAGGCUUGUAACAAAGCCUUAGGGGUAACCCUAGGUAGAAUAGCCUCUAGUAUAGAUCUUAGUAGUAGUAGCAAAUACUUAAAUAAGAACUUUAAGGACUAAAGUAGGGAAAGGUUCUAUAUAAAUAGUAGUUAGACACAGGUUAGUUAAUCCUAAGAGAUAGGGUAAUUCUAUUUUAAUAUUAGCGCUUACGCCACGCCCUUAAAAGGGAAGCUAGUUAAUAUUCUAGCACCUAGAUAUAGAUUCUCUGCGGCAACACAACUAAGAGCGGAGACCUUAGCAGAAGCCCUAAGAAGAGUUCUCUUUUCUUCUUAACAGUCUAUUACCCUAAAAUUAGUUUGUCUAGAGCUAGGGUUUAAUAGCUAGAAGAGCACUACACUUUUAUAGUAUUUAGUACGCUCCUAACAAGCCUUAAAAAUCUACUUAAAGAAAUAGUUUUUACGCUAGGUCGUACUUAUAACUAUAGCAGGUCUCUAAGGUAAAAAGCCUCUAGUUAAUAGAAUAAUAUAGAUAAGGGAAGUUAGUAAAAUAGAUCUGUAACUUUAGGAAAAGGAUUAGCUCUAAGGGUUAGGUACGUUAGGCCUUAGGGAGAAGCCUCUAGCGCAGAAGGGCACUAACUACAAGGUAGGCGCCUCUUAGCGCUAGGGUGCAGAUACCCUUAGCAGGUUUUAGCUGUCUAGCGUACGUUUAAUAACUAACUUAGAACUAGUAUAGAUAAGGGGAAUCUAACUAUCUAAUUAAAAUAUAGCAUUGCAAUAGCUAGAAAGUAGUGUUAACAUAAUGUAAUUUCUACCUAGUGCUCUAAAUAUUAAAGCAAA